rnacentral:lncRNA from 1 species
UGAACUUGCUACAUUAUAUAACUACCCCUGAGGUAGAAGUCAAAUUCUGUAGUCUAAACACAUCUGUCUAUAACCUGAAAUAAAGUGACACCAAUCAUCACCAAACCAAAAGAAAAAAGAAUAAAAAUAGGGUCUUACUUAGCAAGGCCUUCUUCAAGUGCAGCCUGCUCAUCUGGAGUCCAGUCCAUUGAGAUUCCAGGAUUGUGCUUCAUUGCAGACGUUGUGCUUGAACUCUCCGGCGCCGCCGUCGCUGCCGCUGCCGCAGCGAUAUUUCCAUUGCCAUUAAAAGUCGAUGAAGCAUGAGCAGGUUCUUGAUGGUUCCCUUGCGGGUUCGCCAUCAAUUUCGCUAUCUAAUUCAACACAAAAUGCAUCUCGAUCAAAACUAAGGUUUAAUUAAUAUCCAUCAAUAGCUAUGGAAAGGAAAUAACUCUAGUAAGGCACAAUCCAAGCGAUUGAUGCCAAAUCCGCCUCAACUUUACUUUUUCCCGGCAUCCAAGAUCCUCUUUUUUCAGUCUGGAAAUAUCAGCACCUUUUUGGUAAAC